rnacentral:lncRNA from 1 species
AGCUGACCUCGGCCGUAAGUCUGUACCGCUUACCUUGGCUUUCACUGGCACAGAGAAUGAAGUCACUGGAAGAGGAGAAAAUGAAGAGGACCCCUGGACAGGCAGCAAUAAAACAUGCACCCCAGAGGUUGGAGGGGGCCUGGAAUCAUGGGAUCCUAGGCAGCAGCCUGUAAGAGACUGGCUUUAUGAGCUAGUAGAUAUUAGAGGAAGAACUGAAAACUCCAGAGCUUCUAGUUCCAUAUCUUCUUAGGCCAACCACCGAAGAGAUUGAUCUUCUACCCACAGUGUUUGGAUUCCCCAGGAGCACAGAUGGGAUUCUGGGAAGACCAGUGUGAUGAGUUAAAGGCCUUCCAGGGUCCAGUCACACAUGGCGAAGAGCUGUAUCUUCUCUGAAAUGGCCUCCAGUGAUAUAAAACAUGGAAGAGAUGGAACACUGAGAAAACAACUCAACAGAGGUUCUCUCUUGAAAGUACUCCUAAGAGGUGAAUGUGGUGAGCAGAUACUAUGGCUCAGCAUUCCUCAGAAACCUGUGACGUGUGCUUCUGUCUACCAAGACAGCCACUUCCCUAUCUCCCCAUGCCUCUGUCUAAUAAGACAUCUCCUAUCAAGAUGUAUCUAUUGUGUGCAGCAAAGCCACCAGCCUCUUUUAGCCUACCAGCCCACUUCCCUGCUAGCCUAAAUGCCUAGGCUCUUGCAGUUUGCAGGUCCUAGGCACCUGCUACCUUUAUAAUCCGAGAGCUACCCCCAAUGAGUUUUUUUUCUCUCUGCUCUCAAGAAAUCAGUCUGCCAUGGCAGCUUUGAAUUCCCCACAUGCCUGUAGCUAUUCUCUCUCUAGAUAUCUAGGACAAAACCUUCUCCCAUCCAUGGACCAGUCUAGUUCAGUGGUUUUACUAUGCCCUCAUAAGCAAGAGUAUAGUGAAACAGCACACUGAGUGCCAAGGCUGCCUGGAAGGUCAGAGAGAAGAGCAAAACAUGAGAAAACCAAGAGGAUUUUAUAUGACCGUCAGCAGGGUGGUGGGUCUUUGAACUGAUACAAGUUCCAUCAGGACUUGAUUGAACCUGAUUGACCAAGAUCUAGAUAACUUUGCUAAAGUUAACUGACCUUUGAGGGUAGCUUAAGGGAGAUUCCUGUAAACAGAAAUUUAAUCUUACCAGGUGAGAAUAAGACCACUACCAUAAUUUCCAGAGCAAGCUUUAUUAAAGCUCAGAAUCUUAAAUAACAAAGCUGGCCAGGAAGAUGGAUACCAACCAGUUCCAUACCUGAGAUUCACAGAGUGUCACUGAGAAUUACUUUAGUCAGGUACUUGUCAAGGCAAAACCCACAAGGCUACACACUUCCUGCCAACAUCCAAUCUAGGACAAGCAUACAUCCUGAUGUACUUCCUGCCUAUAUACUGCCUGCCUACUUGCUAUGUAACACAUCCUGUGCAGUUGGGACAACCAACCUUGUUUAUUGAAGUGGAAACACCCGGCUUGUUAUCUUCCAUGAACAGUUCCCAGCAUUCCAGGAAGUUAUCUGUCUUUGGGCAAGUGGGACUUACAGGUUAGAGGCAUUUGCUUCAAAGAUCUCUUAAACACAGUCAUUUAAAACGUAAAAGAUAACUUUAGCCCUCACAAAACCUGCCCUUAGGCCUUUGUUUACCCAAUAACGUUUCUGUUUACCAUUUUGGGGGGCUGCUACAGACAUUGUUGGCCUUUUGCUUUGGUCCCUGUUCAACCUGCACCCAGACAGUGUAGAGGUCAUGCUGGAGGAGAGAGAGAGAGAGAGAGAGAGAGAGAGAGAGAGAGAGAGAGAGAGAGAGAGAGAGAGCCCGAUGUCUCUGUUCUCACACCUGAUAGUGGAAUAAUAAUCUACAGGGAGAACCAGGCACUGAGGACUCUCUCUGUGGUUGGUCCUGUGCAUACCCUCUCUGAACGAUGGAGGGAAGAAAAAGAAGAAGAUGUUUUUAAUGGCAUUUUUCUUUAUAAAGGUUGCUUUAGGGAGCCAAGUAUUAAUCAAGUGCUUCAUUGUCCGAGGGCUAUGUGGUAAACUCCCUUGUUUUCAACAGAUGUUGAAGCAGUCUGAGCCAGAAUUCAGGAAAACUGCUCUCCCUCCAUACCCACCCUAGCCCCAGGGGCUGUGAUAAAAUUGAUUAAACUAGAUUCAGGUCAAGCCCCUGGGCUCUGGUGACCUCACAGAAAGCUCAGACUUCACUGCAUCUGAAACAGACAUGGUGCCUGCAGAGACAGGGAUGAGAACCCCCUAUUGAGUUGGCAGAAGCUAUCCACAGGGAAGUCCAGGUACUAAGAGCUAAGUUGUUGCUCUUGGGAUGAAUGAACUGUAUCGCUAUGUUUAUUUCCUGGACAAAGUCACAGUCACUCUACAGCACUCCUGUAAAUAUGGUCCUUAUUUAGGACUAAAAUGUCCAUUGGUGCAACAUCCUUGCUUUGGACCUUUUUUGUGGUAGUGUUUUCCCUAUAGCCACAAUGAAUGAGAUGUCUCACCUCCAGAAAUGGUUUGUGUUUAACAAACCAUACUAGUUGUCACAUCCAAGAGCUAUCCAGGAAUAGGACAGCCAUUCUCUGUGGUCUCAGUUAAAGACAUACAAGCCUUAAGGAGCUGUGUACUCAAGUAAAUCUAAGCUCUGGAGUCAAAGAGCUAGGUCCAACUUCAUGAGCCUUGGCAAAUUCCUUGAAGACUGGGUUUCCAAUGUAAAGUAGAGCUAGCAUCACAUACUGGAGAGGACUUUUAUGAGGCUAAGUGAAGAAAAAAUGUUUGACCUUUGACUGGUCAGCUUUCCUUUCUGCUGUUAAGGUAGGAUAGAAGAAUGUGAUAGAGUCCACAGAAUGUCAACUUUAUAUCUGGACUGGAGAUGCUCUGGUGCCAAAUGCAAUUCUUCUUUCCAGUCCACUGUUUUCUAGCACCAGGCCUUCAAACAAUGAACAGCCCCAGAAGUUUGCCAAUGGCAGGAUCUAACCAACUCUCCAAUACUGUUUUCUGGAAAGAGCCUUUCUCUGCUCUUAUGAGCAUCUUGAAGCCUGAAAUUACUGCGUUGACAUACCAUACCUGAAAUUAGCCUGCUCACUCCAAUUCUAGGGACAAAACUUAGGGCCUCUUGUAUGCUGGGCAAAUACUGAACUGCUGAGCUACAUCCUAGUGCCCCUCCAAUCUUGUUCUCCUUGUUGUUAGCAUCAGCACAGCAGUGUGGUAGAGGGAUGGUGUACUGGUUGGUUUUAUGUGUCAACUUGACAAAAGCCGGGUUAUCACAGAAAAAAGGAUCCUUCCUUGAGGAAAUACCUCUAUGAGAUCCAGCUGUAAGGCAUUUUCUCAAUUAGUGGUCAAGUGUGGGAGGGACCACUGAUGGUGGUGCUAUCCCUGGGCUGGUAGUCCUGGGUUCUCUAAGAAAGCAAGCUGAGCAAGCCAGGGAAAGCAAGCCAGUAUGUACCAUCCCUCCGUGGCCUCUGCAUCAGCUCUUGCUUCCUGACCUGCUUGAGUUCCAGUCCUGACUUCCUUUAGUGAUGAGCAGCAAUGUGGAAGUGUAAGCUGAAUAAAUCCCUUCCUCCCC